rnacentral:rRNA from 1 species
UACGGAGGGUGCAAACGUUGCUCGGAAUCAUUGGGCGUAAAGCGCACGUAGGCGGUCGGCUAUGUCGGAUGUGAAAGCCUCGGGCUUAACCCGAGAAGGGCAUCCGAAACUGGCCGGCUUGAGUACGGAAGAGGGUCUCGGAAUUCCCGGUGUAGAGGUGAAAUUCGUAGAUAUCGGGAGGAACACCAGUGGCGAAGGCGGAGACCUGGGCCGAUACUAACGCUGAGGUGCGAAAGCGUGGGGAGCAAACAGG